CGGUCACGUUCGUUGCAUUCAAAAUUUUAUUUAUAUAUUAAAUACUAUAAAUAAUAUAUUUUUAUUUAUUGUAUUUUAUAUUAUUUUUUUUAUUUUAUGAAACGCAAUUAAGCAGACAAAUCAAUCCACGAACUAAGAACGGCCAUGCACCACCUAUCACAUAAUCAUGAAAGAACUAUCAUAUUUUAUAUAAGGUUAUUUUAUCUGUCAAUCCUUAAUGUGUCCGGACCUGGUAAGAUUUCCCGUGUUGAGUCAAAUUAAGCCACAUGUUCCAC
rnacentral:rRNA from 1 species